rnacentral:rRNA from 1 species
GACGUAGGGCGCGAGCGUUGUCCGGAUUUAUUGGGCGUAAAGAGCUCGUAGGCGGCUUGUCGCGUCGUCCGUGAAAACCUGCAGCUCAACUGCAGGCUUGCGGUCGAUACGGGCAGGCUAGAGUUCGGUAGGGGAGACUGGAAUUCCUGGUGUAGCGGUGAAAUGCGCAGAUAUCAGGGAGGAACACCGGUGGCGAAGGCGGGUCUCUGGGCCGAUACUGACGCU